rnacentral:rRNA from 1 species
UACGUAGGGGGCAAGCGUUGUCCGGAAUUAUUGGGCGUAAAGAGCGCGUAGGCGGUCCGAUAAGUCGGCUGUGAAAGUCAGGGGCUCAACCCUUGGAAGCCGGCCGAUACUGUCGGACUAGAGUCCGGAAGAGGCGAGUGGAAUUCCCGGUGUAGCGGUGAAAUGCGCAGAUAUCGUGAGGAACACCAAUGGCGAAAGCGGCUUCCUGGUCCAGCACCGACGUUCAGGCACGAAAGCGUGGGGAGCAAACAGG